GGUACGCUGCACUAAAUUUUAUUCGGACCGGCCGACUGAUCUCAUUUAUCUCGCGGCGGACGGGCGCGCGAAGAAAGAUAAAAACGGCGGCGGUGGCGGCGUUGGUGGAGGCGGCAACGGUGACGGCUACGACGACGACGACGACAACGGUGAUGAUGAUCACUCCGCGGUGAGUGCGAGUUCAGUUCAACAACACCUACCCGUCGGCGCACACGUGUUCCGGCCAUCGAACGUUCCGGGAUUCAAUUUUAUUUUUCAAACAAUUUUUUUCGCUCUCUUCCCGCCAAUAUCGACGAGACGCUCAUCACAUAAUUUUACAUAAUAUUUAUAAUAUUAUCAUCAUAAUAAUUCUAUACACGAUGUGCAGCAGUGUAGGAAAUAUCGUGUCGUUGUGCUCUAAAAUCGAUCGAACUGAGAGCCACCGUAGCUGUCAACCUGGAUUAGACGGUUCCAACAGCCGACCUAGACCUAUAACGGCUGUACAAAACUGAAGGGAUAACGCUUAUCAAAAUCAAAUCUACUUGCUCAUGCAACACGCGGAUUUCCACUAUACCGGAACUAAAAUGAAGACCUCGACCGACAUUACCACCAACAGGCCGAAACCAUUGUUUCCAAAACCUAGUUGCUAAAUAACCAUGGUUUAUUAUAUUAAUAAAUCUAAUGUAUAUAAUUAAAUAUAAGUACUUUUCUUCCCUUGGUAGUUCGAAAUGGAAGUUUCAAGAACAACCCCUACUACGUUUCAGUUAGGCAAACAAACUAACUUUUUGUAUUUUUUACUCGGUACCUGAAAUAAGUUUGCCUUUCGUACGGGGUUGAUUGAAAUCUUACUGACAUUGUGCUACUAUUACUAUCUUUCGUUACAUUUUGUCUCUAAUUAUUUUUAUAUUUAUUAAAAUCUAUUUUGAUAUAUCAUUGAUGUAGGUACAACAAAUAUAAUAAUAAUAGUCGUCUCUUAAACAUAUCAACAUAUCAUAUUGUAAAUCAAUGUAAAAUAUAUUUUAUGUAAGCUAUGUUAAAAAAAAAUGUUCAAUUCAUUUAUACAUGAGUAUAAUAUUAUGUGUAUUAAAACUGAAAUUUUCGAAUAAACAACAAUAGUAUGUCACAAUUUGUAUGCAAUUUUGUUAUUUAAAAUUUUAACCAUAACUUAUAAGAUAUGUUUAGACUUAAGUACUAACCAAUAAACUUGGAUGUUCGAACCAUGACUAUCCGCAAUUUGUUCGUAUUAUAUUUAUAUAACCUCUUGAAUAAAUAUAUAUUUCUAAUA